rnacentral:rRNA from 1 species
AUUGAACGCUGGCGGCAUGCUUUACACAUGCAAGUCGAACGGUAACAGGCCGCAGGGUGCUGACGAGUGGCGAACGGGUGAGUAAUGCAUCGGAACGUGCCCAGUCGUGGGGGAUAACGCAGCGAAAGCUGCGCUAAUACCGCAUACGAUCUAUGGAUGAAAGCGGGGGACCGUAAGGCCUCGCGCGAUUGGAGCGGCCGAUGUCAGAUUAGGUAGUUGGUGGGGUAAAGGCUCACCAAGCCAACGAACUGUAGCUGGUCUGAGAGGACGACCAGCCACACUGGGACUGAGACACGGCCCAGACUCCUACGGGAGGCAGCAGUGGGGAAUUUUGGACAGUGGGCGCAAGCCUGAUCCAGCAAUGCCGCGUGCAGGAAGAAGGCCUUCGGGUUGUAAACUGCUUUUGUACGGAACGAAACGGUCCUGGUUAAUACCCGGGGCUAAUGACGGUACCGUAAGAAUAAGCACCGGCUAACUACGUGCCAGCCGCCGCCGUAACAC